UACGUAGGGAGCAAGCGUUGUUCGGAUUUACUGGGCGUAAAGGGCGCGUAGGCGGCCACGACAAGUCACUUGUGAAAUCUCCGGGCUUAACUCGGAACGGUCAAGUGAUACUGUCGGGCUAGAGUACAGAAGGGGCAACUGGAAUUCUCGGUGUAGCGGUGAAAUGCGUAGAUAUCGAGAGGAACACCUGCGGCGAAGGCGGGUUGCUGGGCUGAUACUGACGCUGAUGCGCGAAAGCCAGGGGAGCGAACGGG
rnacentral:rRNA from 1 species